AGAGUUUGAUCAUGGCUCAGGACGAACGCUGGCGGCGUGCUUAACACAUGCAAGUCGAACGGAAAGCGCUCUUCGGAGUGACUCGAGUGGCGAACGGGUGAGUAACACGUGGGUGAUCUGCCCUGCACUCUGGGAUAAGCCUGGGAAACUGGGUCUAAUACCGGAUAGGACCAUGGCCUGCAUGGGUUGUGGUGGAAAGCUUUUUGCGGUGUGGGAUGGGGCCCGCGGCCUAUCAGCUUGUUGGUGGGGUGAUGGCCUACCAAGGCUGCGACGGGGUAGCCGGCCUGAGAGGGUGUCCGGCCACACUGGGACUGAGAUACGGCCCAGACUCCUACGGGAGGCAGCAGUGGGGAAUAUUGCACAAUGGGGCGCAAGCCUGAUGCAGCGACGCCGCGUGGGGGAUGACGGCCUUCGGGUUGUAAACCUCUUUCACCAUCGACGAAGCCUCUUCGGGGGUGACGGUAGGUGGAGAAGAAGCACCGGCCAACUACGUGCCAGCAGCCGCGGUAAUACGUAGGGUGCGAGCGUUGUCCGGAAUUACUGGGCGUAAAGAGCUCGUAGGUGGUUUGUCGCGUUGUUUGUGAAAUGCCACAGCUUAACUGUGGGCGUGCGGGCGAUACGGGCAGACUGGAGUACUGCAGGGGAGACUGGAAUUCCUGGUGUAGCGGUGGAAUGCGCAGAUAUCAGGAGGAACACCGGUGGCGAAGGCGGGUCUCUGGGCAGUAACUGACGCUGAGGAGCGAAAGCGUGGGGAGCGAACAGGAUUUAGAUACCCCCGUAGUUC
rnacentral:rRNA from 1 species